ACAUAUUAUGAGCAUCACUUAUUAUUUCACCUCAUUUUACAUGCGUAUCAAAUUGAAUACCCAUUUUCAAACUCUCCCAUGAACAAAAAUUCAACCCAAUAAAAUAUUUAGUGUUUUAUCGGUAACAAAAUUAAUCUUUAUGCAAAAACAUAGAAUCAACCUUUAACAAUAAAACAUUAGAAUCAUUAAGAUCAGUAAUUCCAUUGAUCAAAUUAACUUUUAAACUGACAACAAAAAGAUGUAGCAAAGAAAAAAAAUGGAAACCCUUACCUCGAUCAACCUUCCACACUUCAGGUACAUUUUAAGAAACCCUAUAUUAUAAAAGUCAAAAAGUGACUUUUUUUUGGAGCCGAGAUUUUUGGCUUUCGACUUCUGAAAGAAGCUGCUUCUCCUCAUUAAUUGUGUCCUAAUUUUUCCUUCCCUCCACUUUCCUCGGUAUCUUCUUCCUUCUUCUUCUUCCCUUUUUUUCAGAUUCAGAAUAGCUGUGAGAGAAGAAUUACAAGCUCUGAAACAAGAACUAGGAUUAAUUAUGGCUUCAAGUUCAAGCCAAGCUGCAAUGCCUUCUUUUGAAGAAGCUAAAGAGGUUCCUGCCAGUUGUCUCUUGUUCAUGAAUCAUUUUUCAUAGAUCUGAAGAUAGUUAAGGUUCAAGCAAGUGGUGAAGAUAGGCAAUUGGGAGUAUUCUCAAAACAUGAUUGGACUGAGGUUUCAUGGAAGCAAUCAGGGAUCCACAAUCAAAGUUCCCCCACCCCCUGAAGAUGAGGAAAAUACUAUGUGGUAGACUCGGGAUACUCUAAUAUGCUGGGAUAUUUAGCUCCAUAUAGAGGAGAGCGGUACCAUCUCAAUGAUUAUCAAGCAAUCAGGGUACCUUGUAGUGCUAGGGGAAAAUUUAACAAUGCACACUCGUCGUUCCGUAAUGUGAUUGAACGGUGUUUUGGUACUCAAAGCUUGCUUUCCUAUUUUGAAGAUGAUGUCGUCUUACAGCUUGCGUAAGCAAAGGAAUAUCGUUAUAGCUUCAUGCGCAAUACAUAAAGAAGACGAUGUGAUGUGGAUUCUUACCAAGAUGGGGUUCGCCUAGGCAUGUCCAUGUAUUGCCGUCUUCCAUUAUGAAAAAUGUGUAUUAAAUUUCGGAAUUUUAAACCAUCCCAUACUAGUACAAGUGCAAAACCAUUAUGCUUGGUUUUUAUGGAAUAUAAAAGUUUUCUUUUUUAAGGAUUACUGCAA